GGAUGUGUAGCUCAGUUAGUAGAGUGCUUGGCUAGCAUCCAUGAAGUCCUGGGUUCAAUCCCCAGCACCA
rnacentral:tRNA from 1 species